UACGGAGGAUCCAAGCGUUAUCCGGAAUCAUUGGGUUUAAAGGGUCCGUAGGCGGUCUAAUAAGUCAGUGGUGAAAGCCCAUCGCUCAACGAUGGAACGGCCAUUGAUACUGUUAGACUUGAAUUAUUGGGAAGUAACUAGAAUAUGUAGUGUAGCGGUGAAAUGCUUAGAUAUUACAUGGAAUACCAAUUGCGAAGGCAGGUUACUAUCAAUAUAUUGACACUGAUGGACGAAAGCGUGGGGAGCGAACAGG
rnacentral:rRNA from 1 species